rnacentral:lncRNA from 1 species
UUGUAACAUCCAACGGCAAUUAUGAUUUAAGAGGAUUGAAUUAAAAAAAUUGAACAAACAUUAAUAAAAACAAUUAAAAAUCGAAAAAGGGUAAAAUAGUACUGGGGAGAAAUCAAGAGACCUAAAAUUACGCCUCAUUUCCGCCACGUUCAGUGAAAAACAAUGAAGAUGCGGUAUAUUUGCAGAUUCUACCAUUGUUUCCAUUUCUGAUUUCUUUGAAAUCCAAUUGUACUAUGAUAUUUCUGAAAUCCUUUUUAUUGUUUCAUUUUCACAGAUCUACCAUUGUUUUCAUUUUAUGCGGUGAUAAUUUGUUGAAGGCGGCGUGAUGAAACUUGUUCUCCGGCGAAAGUUGUUGGUUUUCCGCCUCCCUCUUCCGCCACAGGUGAAGCCACGGCCACCUCCUCUGUCCUGGACUUUGUUGGAGAUAGUAGGCAACCGACACCAAGCUUUUGGAAUAACAUGUUUUUACAUUUGAUUAACAUUUUUUAUUGGGUAAAUUAGGUGAUAGAUCAUAGAAUAGAGAUAGUGCGCAACCGCCUUUUUUUUCUUCAUAUUUUGAUGAAACAUAUUCUGAAUCAUCUUUAUUGAUAUCAUUUUUAUCAUUCAUUUAUUGAUAUGUUUAUUGAUAGAAUACAAAUUGUGAUUACAU